rnacentral:rRNA from 1 species
CAGGCCUAACACAUGCAAGUCGAACGGUCUCUUCGGAGAUAGUGGCGGACGGGUGAGUAACGCGUGAGAAUCUGGCUUCAGGUCGGGGACAACAGUUGGAAACGACUGCUAAUACCGGAUAAACCGAAAGGGGAAAGAUUUAUUGCCUGGAGAUGAGCUCGCGUCUGAUUAGCUAGUUGGUGGGGUAAGAGCCUACCAAGGCGACGAUCAGUAGCUGGUCUGAGAGGAUGAUCAGCCACACUGGAACUGAGACACGGUCCAGACUCCUACGGGAGGCAGCAGUGGGGAAUUUUCCGCAAUGGGCGAAAGCCUGACGGAGCAAUUCCGCGUGAGGGAGGAAGGCUCUUGGGUUGUAAACCUCUUUUCUCAGGGAAGAACACAAUGACGGUACCUGAGGAAUCAGCAUCGGCUAUCUCGGUGCCAGCAGCCGCGGUAAUACGGAGGAUGCAAGCGUUAUCUGGAAUGAUUGGGCGUAAAGGGGCCCCAGCUCGUAAU